GAUGAAGAACGUAGCGAAAUGCGAUAAGUAAUGUGAAUUGCAGAAUUCAGUGAAUCAUCGAAUCUUUGAACGCACCUUGCACCCUUUGGUAUUCCGAAGGGUAUGCUCGUUUGAGUGUCAUUGUACUCUCACACUUCUAAUUCCUUUCGGGAUUGGGAGCGGUGGACUUGGGUGUUGCUGCUUUAGUUGUGGCUCACCUCAAAUAAGUUAGUGCAACUCUUGGUUGGACAUAGUACGGCGUGAUAAGUGUCUUCGCCGGCGCCUCUGUAAGGAGGGUGGCCGAUUGGGAGCUCUGUGCUUCAAACCGUCUUCGGACAAUCUUUGACAACUUGACCUCAAAUCGAGUAGGACUACCCGCUGAACUUAAGCAUAUCAAUAAGCGGAGGA
rnacentral:misc_RNA from 1 species